rnacentral:misc_RNA from 1 species
CUGGUACGUCGUAAAAUGUGACCGGAAAACCAACCGGAUAAAUGCUCUCACCGUCUUCCAAGCCAAUAUCUCCGGCCAAAUUCCGGCAGCCGUCGGAGACCUUCCAUAUCUCGAAACAUUGGAAUUUCAUCAUGUUACUAAUCUCACCGGAACAAUUCCACCUGCAAUUGCGAAGCUCACAAAUCUCAAAAUGUUAAGGCUCAGCUUCACUAACCUUACAGGUCCGAUCCCUGAAUUCCUUAGUCAGCUGAAGAAUUUGACGUUGCUCGAGUUGAAUUACAAUCAAUUUACCGGAACAAUCCCUUCUUCCCUCUCUCAGCUUCCGAAUUUGCUAGCGAUGUACUUAGAUCGUAACAAACUCACCGGAACAAUACCGGAAUCGUUUGGGAGAUUUAAAGGACCAAAUAUACCAGAUCUCUACCUUUCACACAACAGCUUGACCGGACAUGUGCCGGCAUCUUUAGGUGAUUUGAAUUUUUCCACGCUUGAUUUCUCCAGGAAUAAGCUUGAAGGAGAUGUUUCGUUUUUGUUCGGGAAGAAUAAGACGAGUCAGGUAAUUGAUUUAUCGAGGAAUUUAUUGGAGUUUGAUAUUUCGAAAUCGGAGUUUGCUGAGAGCUUGAUAUCAUUGGAUUUGAAUCAUAAUCGAAUUUUUGGUAGCUUACCACCAGGAUUGAAAGAUGUACCAUUGCAGUUUUUCAAUGUGAGUUAUAAUAGACUUUGUGGACAGAUUCCACAAGGUGGAACGUUGCAGAGCUUUGAUAUUUACUCUUAUUUGCAUAACAAAUGCCUUUGUGGCUCUCCCUUGCCGAAAUGUAAGUAGGUAUGGAGGUCGAGGAUUUAAAUAAUCGAGAAUUGUAGUAGAGGCAACUAGCCUUCUCUAGUCGUUCCUAAUCAUAUUUAGUGCUCUUUUCGCUUUUUAUAAUCCGUAUGCGAGGAUCUAAUGAAUAUAGUCUCUCUAUCAAUAAACUUAUGAAAUU